AAGGGAGGUGUCUUUUUUCUUCUUUUUUCCAAAAACGGAUGAACUUUCUUCUCAAAUAUUUUAAUUCUAAUAUACGCAUCUAAAAGACCAACUAUUAUAGUAACGAGUAUCAUACAUACUCCCGUAUUAUCUUUCAUAACAAUUGGUUCAAGUACCCAAAAAACAAGUGAUAAACU
rnacentral:antisense_RNA from 1 species